rnacentral:rRNA from 1 species
GUGAGGAAUAUUGGACAAUGGGCGCAAGCCUGAUCCAGCCAUGCCGCGUGCAGGAAGACGCAUCUAUGGUGUGUAAACUGCUUUUGUACGGGAAGAAACACUCCCUCGUGAGGGAGCUUGACGGUACCGUAAGAAUAAGGAUCGGCUAACUCCGUGCCAGCAGCCGCGGUAAUACGGAGGAUCCAAGCGGUAUCCGGAAUCAUUGGGUUUAAAGGGUCCGUAGGCGGUUUAAUAAGUCAGUGGUGAAAGCCCAUCGCUCAACGAUGGAACGGCCAUUGAUACUGUUAGACUGAAAUUACAAGGAAGUAACUAGAAUAUGUAGUGUAGCGGUGAAAUGCUUAGAUAUUACAUGGAAUACCAAUUGCGAAGGCAGGUUACUACUUGUGGAUUGACGCUGAUGGACGAAAGCGUGGGGAGCGAACAGGAUUAGAAACCCUUGUAGUCC